GACGGAGGGUGCUAGCGUUGUUCGGAAUUACUGGGCGUAAAGGGCGCGUAGGCGGCCUCUUAAGUCGGUUGUGAAAGCCCGGGGCUCAACCCCGGAACGGCAGCCGAGACUGGGGGGCUUGAGACCGGGAGAGGUGGGUGGAAUACCCAGUGUAGAGGUGAAAUUCGUAGAUAUUGGGUGGAACACCGGUGGCGAAAGCGGCUCACUGGCCCGGUUCUGACGCUGAGGCGCGAAAGCGUGGGGAGCAAACAGGAUUAGAAACCCCCGUAGUCC
rnacentral:rRNA from 1 species